AUUGAACGCUGGCGGCAGGCCUAACACAUGCAAGUCGAGCGGAUGAAGGGAGCUUGCUCCUGGAUUCAGCGGCGGACGGGUGAGUAAUGCCUAGGAAUCUGCCUGGUAGUGGGGGAUAACGUCCGGAAACGGGCGCUAAUACCGCAUACGUCCUGUGGGAGAAAGUGGGGGAUCUUCGGACCUCACGCUAUCAGAUGAGCCUAGGUCGGAUUAGCUAGUUGGUGGGGUAAAGGCCUACCAAGGCGACGAUCCGUAACUGGUCUGAGAGGAUGAUCAGUCACACUGGAACUGAGACACGGUCCAGACUCCUACGGGAGGCAGCAGUGGGGAAUAUUGGACAAUGGGCGAAAGCCUGAUCCAGCCAUGCCGCGUGUGUGAAGAAGGUCUUCGGAUUGUAAAGCACUUUAAGUUGGGAGGAAGGGCAGUAAGUUAAUACCUUGCUGUUUUGACGUUACCAGCAGAAUAAGCACCGGCUAACUUCGUG
rnacentral:rRNA from 1 species